ensembl:miRNA mdo-mir-7385d mdo-mir-7385d
AGGUCUGAUAGUCUAUCUUCCUGUGCUGUCAUAAAUCUUGGAGCAUAGUCUAUCCGGCCUGA